AAGUCGUAACAAGGUCUCCGUAGGUGAACCUGCGGAGGGAUCAUUGACACGUUUAACACGUAUCAACCAACUGUGAAUUUAUAGUAACAUAGGAAAGCAAGCUUGCUUACUUUACUUUGUUAUAUUCUACCUAGUCAGAUUGUAUUGUUAGUUAUAACUAUUGUGGAAGGUUAUGUAUUUAUAUAUAACUGGUUAUAAUUAGAGAGUGUUUACUCACUCAAAUCAUUCUGUAUUAGGCUUUUACCCUAUAGCACUUUCACACUAGCAAAAACCCCUUUCACCCUACUUAUAAAUUGUAUGACUGAAAAAAUAUUAUAGUAUAUGUAAUGUAUACCUUUGAUAUUGAUAUUCACAACUAAAAGCACAACUCUUAGCAACGGAUAUCUUGGUUUUC
rnacentral:misc_RNA from 1 species